GUAGGCUUGCUCUCUUAGGCGGUCCGACCGGCGGCACGGGUCGGAGUAACGCGUAUCCAACCUGCCUCUCGACUAACGGGAUAACCGGCGAAAGUACGGACUAAUACCUUAUGAGGUUUCGUUGACAGACAAUCUAACGUAAAACGAAAAGAGUUUAUCGGUCAGCGAUGGGGAUGCGUCUGAUUAGCUUGUUGGCGGGGUAACGGCCCACCAAGGCAACGAUCAGUAGGGGUUCUGAGAGGAAGGUCCCCACAUUGGAACUGAGACACGGUCCAAACUCCUACGGGAGGCAGCAGUGAGGAAUAUUGGUCAAUGGGCGAGAGCCUGAACCAGCCAAGUAGCGUGCAGGAUGACGGCCCUAUGGGUUGUAAACUGCUUUUAUGUGGGGAUAAAGUGAGCUACGUGUAGUUUAUUGCAGGUACCACAUGAAUAAGGACCGGCUAAUUCCGUG
rnacentral:rRNA from 1 species